rnacentral:rRNA from 1 species
GGUUAAGCGACUAAGCGUACACGGUGGAUGCCCUGGCAGUCAGAGGCGAUGAAGGACGUGCUAAUCUGCGAAAAGCGUCGGUAAGGUGAUAUGAACCGUUAUAGCCGGCGAUGUCCGAAUGGGGAAACCCAGUGUGAUUCGUCACACUAUCGUUAACUGAAUACAUAGGUUAACGAGGCGAACCGGGGGAACUGAAACAUCUAAGUACCCCGAGGAAAAGAAAUCAACCGAGAUUCCCCCAGUAGCGGCGAGCGAACGGGGAGCAGCCCAGAGUCUGAAUCAGCUUGUGUGUUAGUGGAACGGUCUGGAAAGUCCGACGGUACAGGGUGAUAGUCCCGUACACCAAAAUGCACAGGCUGUGAACUCGAAGAGUAGGGCGGGACACGUGGUAUCCUGUCUGAAUAUGGGGGGACCAUCCUCCAAGGCUAAAUACUCCUGACUGACCGAUAGUGAACCAGUACCGUGAGGGAAAGGCGAAAAGAACCCCGGCGAGGGGAGUGAAAAAGAACCUGAAACCGUGUACGUACAAGCAGUGGGAGCACCUUCGGGUGUGACUGCGUACCUUUUGUAUAAUGGGUCAGCGACUUAUAUUCUGUAGCAAGGUUAACCGUAUAGGGGAGCCGCAGGGAAACCGAGUCUUAACUGGGCGUUAAGUUGCAGGGUAUAGACCCGAAACCCGGUGAUCUAGCCAUGGGCAGGUUGAAGGUUGGGUAACACUAACUGGAGGACCGAACCGACUAAUGUUGAAAAAUUAGCGGAUGACUUGUGGCUGGGGGUGAAAGGCCAAUCAAACCGGGAGAUAGCUGGUUCUCCCCGAAAGCUAUUUAGGUAGCGCCUCGUGAACUCAUCUUCGGGGGUAGAGCACUGUUUCGGCUAGGGGGUCAUCCCGACUUACCAACCCGAUGCAAACUACGAAUACCGAAGAAUGUUAUCACGGGAGACACACGGCGGGUGCUAACGUCCGUCGUGAAGAGGGAAACAACCCAGACCGCCAGCUAAGGUCCCAAAGUCAUGGUUAAGUGGGAAACGAUGUGGGAAGGCACAGACAGCCAGGAUGUUGGCUUAGAAGCAGCCAUCAUUUAAAGAAAGCGUAAUAGCUCACUGGUCGAGUCGGCCUGCGCGGAAGAUGUAACGGGGCUAAACCAUGCACCGAAGCUGCGGCAGCGACACUAUGUGUUGUUGGGUAGGGGAGCGUUCUGUAAGCCUGCGAAGGUGGCCUGUGAGGGUUGCUGGAGGUAUCAGAAGUGCGAAUGCUGACAUAAGUAACGAUAAAGCGGGUGAAAAGCCCGCUCGCCGGAAGACCAAGGGUUCCUGUCCAACGUUAAUCGGGGCAGGGUGAGUCGACCCCUAAGGCGAGGCCGAAAGGCGUAGUCGAUGGGAAACAGGUUAAUAUUCCUGUACUUGGUGUUACUGCGAAGGGGGGACGGAGAAGGCUAUGUUAGCCGGGCGACGGUUGUCCCGGUUUAAGCAUGUAGGCUGGUUAUCCAGGCAAAUCCGGAUAAUCAAGGCUGAGGUGUGAUGACGAGGCACUACGGUGCUGAAGUAACAAAUGCCCUGCUUCCAGGAAAAGCCUCUAAGCAUCAGGUAACAUCAAAUCGUACCCCAAACCGACACAGGUGGUCAGGUAGAGAAUACCAAGGCGCUUGAGAGAACUCGGGUGAAGGAACUAGGCAAAAUGGUGCCGUAACUUCGGGAGAAGGCACGCUGGUGUGUAGGUGAAGUCCCUGCGGAUGGAGCUGAGACCAGUCGAAGAUACCAGCUGGCUGCAACUGUUUAUUAAAAACACAGCACUGUGCAAACACGAAAGUGGACGUAUACGGUGUGACGCCUGCCCGGUGCCGGAAGGUUAAUUGAUGGGGUUAUCCGUAAGGAGAAGCUCUUGAUCGAAGCCCCGGUAAACGGCGGCCGUAACUAUAACGGUCCUAAGGUAGCGAAAUUCCUUGUCGGGUAAGUUCCGACCUGCACGAAUGGCGUAAUGAUGGCCAGGCUGUCUCCACCCGAGACUCAGUGAAAUUGAACUCGCUGUGAAGAUGCAGUGUACCCGCGGCAAGACGGAAAGACCCCGUGAACCUUUACUAUAGCUUGACACUGAACAUUGAGCCUUGAUGUGUAGGAUAGGUGGGAGGCUUUGAAGCGUGGACGCCAGUCUGCGUGGAGCCAACCUUGAAAUACCACCCUUUAAUGUUUGAUGUUCUAACGUUGGCCCCUUAUCGGGGUUGCGGACAGUGUCUGGUGGGUAGUUUGACUGGGGCGGUCUCCUCCCAAAGCGUAACGGAGGAGCACGAAGGUUAGCUAAUCCUGGUCGGACAUCAGGAGGUUAGUGCAAUGGCAUAAGCUAGCUUGACUGCGAGCGUGACGGCGCGAGCAGGUGCGAAAGCAGGUCAUAGUGAUCCGGUGGUUCUGAAUGGAAGGGCCAUCGCUCAACGGAUAAAAGGUACUCCGGGGAUAACAGGCUGAUACCGCCCAAGAGUUCAUAUCGACGGCGGUGUUUGGCACCUCGAUGUCGGCUCAUCACAUCCUGGGGCUGAAGUAGGUCCCAAGGGUAUGGCUGUUCGCCAUUUAAAGUGGUACGCGAGCUGGGUUUAGAACGUCGUGAGACAGUUCGGUCCCUAUCUGCCGUGGGCGCUGGAGAAUUGAGGGGGGCUGCUCCUAGUACGAGAGGACCGGAGUGGACGCAUCACUGGUGUUCGGGUUGUCAUGCCAAUGGCACUGCCCGGUAGCUAAAUGCGGAAGAGAUAAGUGCUGAAAGCAUCUAAGCACGAAACUUGCCCCGAGAUGAGUUCUCCCUGAGACUAUAAGUCUCCUGAAGGAACGUUGAAGACGACGACGUUGAUAGGCCGGGUGUGUAAGCGCAGCGAUGCGUUGAGCUAACCGGUACUAAUGAACCGUGAGGCUUAACCUU